rnacentral:rRNA from 1 species
CCCUUAGAUGUCCUGGGCCGCACGCGCGUUACACUGAUGCAUUCAACGAGCUUAUAACCUUGGCCGAGAGGCCUGGGCAAUCUUGUUAACGUGCAUCGUGAUAGGGAUAGAUUAUUGAAAUUAUUAAUCUUGAACGAGGAAUUCCUAGUAAACGCAGAUCAUCAAUCUGCAUUGAUUACGUCCCUGCCCUUUGUACACACCGCCCGUCGCACCUACCGAUUGGAUGGUCCGGUGAAUCCUCGGGAUUGUGGUUCUUGCCGCUUUAUUGUGGCGUGACCGCGAGAACUUGUCUAAACCUUAUCAUCUAGAGGAAGGUGAAGUCGUAACA